rnacentral:lncRNA from 1 species
CGCGUGACUCGUUGCGCCUAUUGCAGCGGGAGCAGGGGCGGUGGGUGAGCCCUCGCGGGCCCAGCGGACCGAACCACGGGUCGUCCGGAGGGGCGGCAUGAGGGAGACUCGGGUUGGACCAUCAGCGCCACAGCUGCAGGGGGUAGCGGGCGUUACCAAGCUGUCUAGAGAGGCGGGGGACGUCUGCUUGUCCCGGCUGCAACGCGACCCCUGGAGUGCUCGAGACUACGUCGCCGCCUUCGCCGUGGGAGCACAGUGAGGCGAGAAAUCAGGCCCACCCUCCCUCGCAUCUUCUCCGACCCCCUCGAGCAAGCUCCAUCUUCAGCCUGCCCUGACACUUCAGCUCCGCCGUACACUGAACCCUCAGACACCCAGGACCAACCAUCCUUUCAGGCGUCUCCCCAGCUCCAAGCCAACCGUCUCUCAAACUGCCCUUCGGAGACACCCCCUCAGUUGACUCGUGCCCAGUAGUCAUCGUUGUACUGCAUCUCCUGUGACCGCCCUGCGGUAGCGCGGUAGCCCAGCACCCAGCCCGGGUCCUUUGCACCCUCCGCCCUUUUGGCCCCUGGUUGCCAAGCUGGUAUCUGCAUCCAGUUUUACCUUGAGAAAACCUUUGGCCUGGCAGUUUUGCCAGCCCCCUGCCACCACUCUUAACCUGCUGCAAAGGGCGCUGUCAUCCCGUUGCCCAGGGCUGGCUUGGGCUUGCCAAGCUGGCCCUGAGGACAUCAGGGGACAGCUCUGAAGGCAAGAACCGUUCACUGUUCAUUUUUAUCUACAACGCCCAGCACAGUGCCUGGCACAUGGUAGCAUUCAGUAAAUGUAUGAUGGGUGGGUGAAUGAGCCCAAUGCAGAGACUGUGAGGCAGAGUGCUUUAGAGGGGAAAAUAUCACUACCUACUUGACGGUGGGUGGGGGGGAUCUGGAGGGCCACUUGCACUCAUUGGGAGCAUAGAACUGAAUAUAUGCAGUUUUCAAUUCAUGCGUCUGAUUUCUUUUAUAUAGGAGCCUCUACAUAUCAGCGGUUUUCCCUUUAUGUUCUGUUUACCAAAGUCAUGACCCGGGAAUUUUUACUGGUCAGUGCCUUUAGAGGCUGCCCAGAUAAUCUUGAGAGAGCUUUGCCGGGAUGAUCCCUACCCGAUCCUCUGCUCCAGAGACUGGCUGCUCCCUUUAGGGAAGAAUUGUGGAGGCUAACUACAGCCUUUAAAUCCGACUUGGUGUAACUGGUCUGCUGGUGCUUCGGGACAGGUUGGAGGAAUGAAGGAUCUCAGUUAUUUUACCCUUUAGUUCUUGAGUACAUCUCUUCCCCACCCCCACUGGAAUAGAAAUCCCAGGCUGGCCUAGUGUGAGAAAUAUUCAAAGAUUCCUAAAUACUGCUACGGUAUGAUCAGGCCAUAUAUGGGCCAUUUAUAUCUCAGUAGACCGGAAUGGGGCAGGGAUUACCACUUUGUGGACAUAUCUGUAGUAAAUAAGAACAUAGGCCUUUUAAAGAUGUUAUUCUCUAAGAACAGAGAGCCUGAAACCUGUUUUGUUGAUUUCUAGGAGGAUGAUCUGAAAAGAUUCAGUUUGCUGAAGCUAAGACAGGGUUCUGAGACCUCAGUUUUCGCCCAGGUUCCACGGGGAAGUAGAUGAUAUUGCUGAGUAUUGAAACAAUGGCUGGAAAGCUGUGGGAAUUUAUAAGCUAAGAAAUAGUUUGCCUGACUACUAGUAGCAUUAUUGUACCUGGGGCUCAGAGUGUAGGUAAAAGCAAUGGCUGGAGUUUCUUAAGAGGCUCCACGGAAAUUAAGCAGUGGUAUGGUUUAGAGGAGGGGAGAUACCACCAGAUCUCUGGUGUUCUGCUACUUGUGUCCCUCAUAUGUAUGGCUAUAAGGCAGUCAUCCUCGCUGUUUCUGCUCUGAGGAAAGUCAAAAUCUGGUUUCCUAUGAUUUUUAUGCUGUGUUUAAGGUCCCUUUUUGAGGCCAGGCCUGCCUAACUAGAACCUGGGUAUGUUCUCAACCAUUUCUAGCUUUAAUAUAUCCUUUACUUUUUCUUUUUCCUAUUCUCUGACUUAUCAUUAUAACUUUAUAAAGUAAAUCUUGGAUCAGGAAUUUCAGAUUUUUCUGAAAGCAGAAAGGGGCUCCUGAGCUGGGUUAAGCGUGGACAUCGUGCCUGUAGACCAGUUUUUGAGUUUAGUUUUUGGUUAACCAGUAAGUUUAUAAUGGGCUUUUCUACUUUUCCCUGUCUAGAGUCCCUGUUGAAAUCUCAAUAAUCCCAAAAAACUCUGGAUUAUUUUAUGUAAUUUAUCUUCAUUUCCAGUACUUCAGACUGUUGCCAGAUAAAAUACAGGAUGCCAAGUUAAAUUUGAAUUUAAGAUAAACAACAGAGUAUCCUGUAUUUUUAUUUGCUAAAUCUGGUAACCCUAGUUCACGGGAAGGCUUGUGUGUUCUAUUUUUCCUCUCUACAAAUUUAGGACAAUAACUCACCCUUUUCUUCUGUUACACACAGUGACUGAGCAGCCUAUUAAAAGUCACUUGACUGAGAUGGCUCACUCACUGCAUGUUAGGGUAAGGGCAGAUUCUGUAGUGAUCAUCCACUUGAUCAGUGUUGAGGUUACCCAGAAAACACCCACUCAUACAUUGACAUAUGAUGUUGUAGUUCCUGUCAAAUGAAUCUGUCAUGCAAAAUGAGCAUGUUAUUUUGAGUGGCCAGAUGUAAACAUUACUCUGAGAGGGACUUCAAGGGAUGAGGGUGGGGUGUGGGUGCAUUUUAAAGAAAAAUUAUAGCUUACAUCAGAACCUCUUGUACCACAUUUAUUCUUUUAUUAAAAAGUUCUGGUAAAACAUAUAUAACAUAAAAUCUAUCAUUUUAACCAUUCUUAAGUAUACAGUUCAUUGUCAUUAAGUACAUUCAUAUUGUUGUCCAGCCAUCACUACCACCUCUCUCCAGAACUUUUUCAUUUUCUCAAACUAAAACUGCAUACUCAUUAAAUAACUCAUUUCCUUUUCUCCCAGCCCCUGACAACCACCAUUCUACUUUCUUUCUCCAUGAAUUUGACUACUCUAGGUACUUCAUAUAAGUCAAAUCUUACAAUAUUUCUCUCUUUGUGACUAGUACAUCCUUCAAGGUACAUCCAUAUGGUCACUUGUAUCUGAAUUUCCUUCCCUUUUUAAGGCUGAAUAAUAUUCAUUGUAUGUAUAUUCCACAUUCUUUUUAUCCAUUCAUCCAUCGAUGGACACUUGAGUUGCUUCAACCUUUUGGCUAUUGAGAAUAAAGCUGCUAUGGAAAAUGGUGUACAAAUAU